rnacentral:rRNA from 1 species
GCUAGGAUGAACGCUAGCGACAGGCCUAACACAUGCAAGUCGAGGGGCAGCACAAGGAGCAAUCUGAGGUGGCGACCGGCGCACGGGUGAGUAACACGUAUGCAACCUGCCUGUAAGCGGGGAAUAACCCGUUGAAAGACGGACUAAUACCGCAUAAUACUAAAUUACUGCAUGGUAAUUUAUUUAAACAUUUAUGGCUUACAGAUGGGCAUGCGCAUGAUUAGCUAGUUGGAGAGGUAACGGCUCCCCAAGGCAACGAUCAUUAGGGGUUCUGAGAGGAAGGUCCCCCCACACUGGUACUGAGACACGGACCAGACUCCUACGGGAGGCAGCAGUGAGGAAUAUUGGUCAAUGGACGAGAGUCUGGACCAGCCAAGUCGCGUGCAGGAAGAAUUGUCCUAUGGAUUGUAAACUGCUUUUGCAGGGGAAUAAAGUGCAUCACGUGUGAUGUUUUGUAUGUACUCUGCGAAUAAGGAUCGGCUAACUCCGUGCCAGCCGCCGC